CCUGAGGAGAAAAAGCAAAGGCAAGUACUAGGUAAAUAUACUCAGAAUCUCUUCCCCUCUGAUCCAUGAGAAUGAAUGAUUGAUUGAAGGAAAACAAGGGGACUCUACUUUGCACUCUGUGCAUCCUUCCAAAAAAGUGCUUGUGUUGGGUUUCUUAUACUACCACUCCUUUCGCUUUUAGAAGGAGGGUUUAAAAAAAAAAAAAAAAAAAACAGAUUUGGAGGGAAGGCUUAGUGAAAAUGCAUUAUGAACCAUCUACAAAAUGAGAUUGCAUAUGGCAGUCUAUGAUUAGAAUAAGGCUAAUCUGAUCAUCUACUAUAUUAUAACUUAAAAAAAAAACUAGAGGAGGAAAAACUGGUUCAGCAUUUUGAGUGUACUUCAGUGAUUAGAACUUCAUAAUUUGUUCCCAGUUAAGGGCCUCCUCAGUGAACUUAAAUGAAGGCUUUACCAGAGUGUAGAAAGAAAAUCCAUAAAAAAUUGAAUCAUGGAAUUAAGUAGUUGAUGCUUUAACUUUGUUUGAACCCUGUUUUUCUCAACUUAGUCAUCAAGUCAGGGAGAGGCUAAGCAUUGUAAUUCUGUACUUUCUCAGCACUCAUGUUGAUAAAUGAAUGUGAGUGUUAGCAGUGCUUAGUCUUGAAUGACUGAUGCAGGAAUCUCCUUGAAAUUGCCCUUUGUGGUCUUUCUUCAUGGACAGCAAGCUUAUUACCAGUUUUAUACCUGCAGAAAAACGAAGUGAUGACAUGAUGGAUCCAAUCCAGCCAAUUUGCUCCGAUGUACCUUCAAACUCUUCUUUAAAGACCACAAAGAAAAUUGCAAAAGUCUUGGUCAUUGCCAUCACAAACACAUUUACCUAAAUCAGAGCAGAUCAAAGUGCAAGUCAGGCGGAAUGUGAGCAAUUGCAAAGGAGGUUACAGCUGCUAGACUUAGGAUUCCCUGUCCUGCCAGUAUUCACUGGUGUGCUUUAUUGGUGGUUAUCUGUACAUCUUUUAUGUUAUGGGGGAGUCCUUCGAUUAGAGUGGCUGAGCACUUUACAUUAAAGAAUCUCAUUUAAUUCUCAUUUCCAGGCUACAGAAUAGAUUUAUGAAUAUUAAAGAGAUCUGCAAGUUGAAGUUCAGAAAGAAAAAAAUUGCUUACAAUGGGGGUGUUGGAGCUGACUCCAGAGCAACCACUGCUUUACUCUGGUGUUACCUUGGUGUCUGAUACAAACAGUAGAUUCCAGUUACCUUUUCGGGAUAAAACAAUUGUCCAAGAGGAAGAAUUGGUCCUCUCAGUUCUUAGGUUAGCUUUGUUGUAAUUGCUCCUAAGUUGAGAACCUUCCCUCACUUGAUCCAUCAGUAGGUUGACUAUGUAAUUUAUCAGUCCAAAUCGGGACACUCUGGAGUGAAAGGGAAUGCUUAAUGAUGGCAGGACAGCGAUGGUUAAUGAGGACAUAUGGAUCCCCUAUGGGUGGGUCAUGUGCCCACCCUUUAUCCCACCUAAUCCUUGGUGGGCACGACUCUAUCCCUCCACUGGGAGAAUCCUUUAAAUACUGAUUCCUUCUGUGGGGUACUAACUUGUUUGUAGGAAUUUAGCCUGCAGGCAAUGAAGAGUUAUCCCUCCUCUCCCUUUGGCUUGCUAGCCAGUUUAUCCCUUAUAGGGUCAGGAGCAGGGACUCAAAGGGAAACCUAACCAGGGGUUGUGUUCACUGUUGAAGCCCAGAAGCCAUUGGAUGCUCACUGUCUUCAGUGGCUUCCUAGCUUCCCCUCUUCCUUUCUUUGAUGUUGUGUUGGCUCUUUUCAGGGCCAUCUUGUUUGCUUUCAAUGGCUAUGCACUGCUAAAGAAACCACAGAACCAUGGGUUCCCUUUCACUGGUUCCUCUGUGCUCUGUCCUAACAUCAUCCACUCUGAAGGUUACUCAUGGAGGGGUAGUUUAUGAGUAUGGCUCUGCAGCCAUCCUUGGCUUGCAUUGCGGCUUAGCUUCCUACUAGAGGUGUGACUUUGAGGAAACUUCAGCAAAGUGAGCAGAAUGGAAUUAUGAAUUAGCUCAAAGGGCUGUAAAGAUUGAGGGAUUCUGGGGACGUAUACUUAAUUCUUGGCACUUAAGCAGUUAAUUGUGAUUUUGUUACUGUGUUACAUCUCUGUUUUCCCAAGAGCUUCCCUCUCCUAACUGUUCACCUUAUCUGUCUACCUUUGGUCAAGUUGGCCAAACCCAGGUGGAUCUUACCCUUAGCCCAUGCCUUUUCUUUUCAGUUAUGUUGAUUCAGACCAUCCACCUCCUCACCUGAGUCAGGGUCCUGCUUCCUCUUAGACCCUUCACCUACUUCCCCUACUUUCUAAAUAAUCUUCAAGACCUUGCUCUCCUUUCAUCCCCAUCACUGAGUUCUUGUCAGCCUAGUAUUGUCUGCGGGCAAUGAAGUAAGAGUCAGUGGUUAUGCUUAGGGGUUGGGCUGGUGAGGAGGAAGUCUUGUAGCAGAUUCACUUCUCUUUCUGAUUUGACAGAAAAGUACAAAACUUAGAAUGAGCAGUGAUGUAGACCACAGGGCAGUAUAUUCAGAACUGAAAGAGAUUUUAUCAGGCCCCAGUUCAUGUUAUUUAGAACCAUGUUUUUUUUUGUUUGUUUGUUUUGUUUGUUUGUUUUUUUUUUUUUCAGGGCAGUUACAUCAGGAAAUCAAACUAGAAAACAUACACAAACCUCAGAUGACCCAGACUUGUUUCUCUUAUUUCAGAAUAAAGGAUGGCAGUUGUGUUCUCAUGAGCAAGAACCCUAAGAUGAGGUGUGUCAUUCUGUGAAACAAGUGUCCUUAUUCUGUGGACAUGGUUUCUGUGCCGGUGUCUACAGGCUGCUCGCCCCUUGAGUUCUUAGCCACCUGAAUUUGGCCAGUUUUCUUCUUUGAUCUUUGUGUCUGGGCAUAGCUACAGAGUGGAUAGAACUUGCUUUGAUAACUUGGUCUGUGGCUUCUGCUGUGUGUGAAGGCCAAGGUCAAUGCCUUUGCAUCUGCUUUGCUCCCCUCCCUUAAUUUGAAGUGUUCUAGCUUUGUUUCUGUUUUGACUCAGAUAAAUGAGAAUCUCUCCUGCUGGAGCCAGUAUUGUGGCACAGCAGGUUAAGUUGCCACCUGUAACACUAGCAUAUAUGUCUGAGAGCCAGUUCAAGUCCCAGCUGCUCCGCUUUCCAUCCAGUUCCCUGCUAGUAUUCCUGGGAAGGCAGCUGAAGAUGGUCCAAGUACUUGGUCCCCUGCCAUCCACAUGGGAGACUUGGAUGGAGUUCCAGGCUCCUGGCUAGAGCCUGGCCCACCUUAACUGUUGUGGCCAUUUGGGGAGUGAGCCAGUGUUUGGAAGAUCUCUUACUCUUUUAUCACUCUGCCUUUCAAGUAAAUCAAUCUAAAAUGAUGAUGAUGAUAACAAUAAUAAUGGAAAUCUCACCUGAGGUCUAGGUUUUCCUUUAGUUAACUAAGUAGACUCCUGGAGUUUAUUAUCUUAUUUAAUUGUAUGCCUUGCACCAACCUUGGUGGGUUCCCCUCCUGCCCCCAGACUUCACAUCCAUUAUACACACUGUAGGCAGAGCUGUUUCUGUGACUUAAAUCUGAUCCUAUCACUCUCCUGCUCAGUUUUCCCUAUUAGCUCCUCAUAGCCUCAGGAGACACUGUCCUUAGCGUAUCUUUCAGCGCUCCUGCGCAUCUCUCCAAUUUCCUCACUUGUCCCCUAUCUUACUCAUAAAUGUGUCUCAGUUCAUUUCAUCCAUCCAUCCUGUGUCUGCUGUGCUCCAGGCUGUAUAUCUUGGCUUGGUAUACGGUAGUCAGUGGACACUGAGGAGCCUGCAGACAUGGUCCCUGACCCCAUGGGACACUAGUGAGACUAACUGAAUACAGAAAACUGUUACACAGAGAUACAAAGUGUGGGAAGAAGGGAGCUCUGGAAGAACACUCUGUUACUUCGCACUCAUCUUUUCAGGAGCUCAUCUACUGUAGAAAAGUACAUUUAAAAAAAUAUUAAUUUAUUUGCAUGAGUUACAGAGAGGGAGACAUACAGAGAGAUCUUCCAAACUGGUUCACUUCCCAGAUGGCUACAAAAGCCGGGGCUAGGCCAGGCCAAAGCCAGGAGCUCUUCUGGGUCUCCCACAUGGGUGGCAGAGAUCCAAGCACUUGGGCCAUCUUCUGCUGCUUUUCCCAGGCCAUUAACAGGGAGCUGGAUCAGAAGUGCAACAGUCAGGACAGAAACCAGUACCCAUAUAGAGUGAGUAUUGCAGGCAGCAGCUUUACCUGCUAUGCCACAAUGUCAGCCCUAAAAAAAGUAACUCACAGAAACACAAGCAUCCAUAUCACCACUGUGGGUGAGGAGCCUGUAAGGAUUCAGUAAUUUGUGUGUGCUCUAAGAAGUGGCUUCACACUCCCCAAAUGGGCUAAUUAAUUAAUCAGUUUUUUUUUUUUCUUAGUAGCAACAACUACUAGAUUGGUCAAAUAACUUCCCAUCCACAGAGGAUAACAGUAAAAGUAAGAAUGGUUUCUUGGGAGGAGAACGGGAGAAUGUGAGAUUCUCACCACAAUGACAAUUCUGCAAAGCCUGACUUGGGAGGUGGCCCAGCCACAGGAAGAGCUCUCAGGGCAUCUGUAGUCUUCCUUUAGUAACACAUCUGGGGAAAAAAGUUGACAUAUCUUUUGGUAGUGAAGCUAAUGUUUAACAAAUAGUGUUCUAUUAGGAGUUUGACAUUAAAUAAGUCCUGGCUAGGGAUCUCUGCCCCUGCUUCCCCUUCUUGUUCCAGCUGUAGUAUGUGUGCUGCCAGGGGGAGCACUGCUUUCCCCUUUUCUAUCUUGGAAGAAUUCACACUGUACACUAUAUUACUAGUCACCAGGAUCCAUGUUUCCAGCCCUAUGAGCUGCUUGCAGAAGGCUGACCAGGAGAGGAGCAACCUGAGAAAAUGGUGUUUCUCUGUCUGCUAUGGCCUGGGAAAGCAGUAGAUGGCGGCUCAAGUCCUGGAGCCCUUGUACCCGUGUGGAAGACCCAGAAGAAGCUCCUGACUUCUGAUCAGUCCAGCUCUGGCUGUUGGGGCCAUUUGGGGAGUGAACCAGCAGAUGGAAGACCUCUCUCUUUGCCUCUGCCUCACUGUACCUCUGCCUUUCAAAUAAAAAAAUAUUUUUUUAAAAAAAUCAUUGUCUUCACAUAGCAGCUUAUACAUUGUAGAUGCCUAUUAUUUUGGGCUAAAUAAUCUGGAAAUCUUUCUAUAUUGUCAAGUGUUAAAUUGCUAAAGAGCAACACAUUGAGGACUUUUGUGCCUUUCUAUACAAAUUAUUGUGAACUAUGUAAAGGCUGAAGAGAAGAUAAUGUUGACUUACACUUCCAAACGCUAAGGGUUUUUUUUUUUUUUUUUUUUUUUUCUGACCAAACAUACCUAUUUGGUGGUCUGAUGAAGAGGACUGGCUGUGAGUUGAGAGUCCUGACUCCAAUGGUGACUGCCAGUUCCUUAGCUUUAGUUACACGAGUGUAGAAUAGGGCAAUCAACAGUACCUAAUGUAUAGAGUUGGUAAUGAGCAUUCAAUCCUGGCAUGUAGUAAGUACUUAAUAUGUUAUAAUGAAGUAGGAGUAUGCUUGAUUUAAAUAUUUAUAGGCACUUCCGUGAGAAUACAGACAUUACAGAAAGCUUCUGAAAGAGGAAGUAAUUUAGAAGAGUCCUUUUUUGAAAAAAUUACAAUUUGAUAAUUUUUUAAAAAUGAGCAUUUAAUAAGAGUUUAAAGAAUCCAGAAAAGCUGCAAGCUUGCCUUCAAGCAGAUUUAUUGGACAUAACAAGAAUCUAACACACAAGUAACCUGGAUCAGUACAAUAUAAACUUUACUAAUAACCUGAUUGGUCUGUCCAUACAGUGUUAAAAAGCAACUAACUCUAAAAUAAAUAGAAUAGUGCCUAACUUCUGGAACUUUAGAAGCUCCAUAACAUGUUGGAUCAAGUCUCUGACAUGCUGCUGGAGCACUGCUGACAGAUGUCAAGAGGCCAUUUUGUGCACUGCCACUGUGAUGCCAUCGUGUUUCUGGAUCAUGAUGUUCCUGAAGGGCAAAGAGGAAAAUACUCAGUAAAGCAUCACAAGUUAGACAAGAUGUUGUCUGGUUUAGGACACAAUUUUAAAAAACAGUAUUUUAUUUUGGACACAACUUCUGGGAAAUACAGAAAAGCUUAAGGGGGCUGGUGCUGUAAAGCUGCCGCCCACAGUGCCGGCAUCCCAUAUGGACAAUGGUUCAAGUCCCAGCUGCUCCAUUUCCAGUCCAGCUCUCUGCUAUGGCCUGGGAAAGCAGCAGAAGAUGGUCCAAGUCCUUGGGACCCUGCACCCAUGUGGAAGACUUGGAAGAAGCUCCUGGCUCCUGGCUUCGGACUGGACCAGCUCCAGCCAUUACAGCCAUUUGGGGAGUGAACCAGUGGAUGGCAGAUUCUGCUUCUGCCUCUCUGUAACUCUGCCUUUCAAAUAAAUAAAUUAAAAAAAAAAAAAGUGUAAAAUACAAAAAUGAAAUGAAUUCUUAAUCCUAUUAUUCAUAGACAACUAUUUUUAAUUUUCCUAUUUGCAUAUAUUCUCUUUUGGACAAAACAAUAUUGUGCAUAGUUUUGUAUUAUCUCUUCACAUCAUCGUAUUCUAAAGACCCUCACUUGGAAUACGUUUAGUAUUUCUAUUACUUUAGAAAUAGUUUUGAUGGGGGCUGGCACUGUGGCAAAGCGGGUAAAGCCGCCACCUGGGGCACUGGAAUCCCAUAUGGUCGCUGGUUGGAGUUCCAGCUGCUCCACUUCUGAUCCAGCUCCCUGCUAAUGCACCUGAGAAAGCAGUGGAAGAUGGCCCAACUGCUUGGGCCCCUGCACCCACGUGGGAGACCUGGAAGAAGCUCUGGCUCCUGGCUUCAGAUCAGCCCAGCUCCAACCAUUCUGGCCAUCUGGGGAGUGAACCAGCAGAUGGAAUCUCGGCCUCUGCCACCCAUGUGGGAGACCUGGAUGAGGCUCCUGGCUCUGGCCUGCCCCAGCCCUGGCCAUUGUGGCCACCUGAAGAGUGAACCAGCACAUGGAGGAUUCUUUCUUUCCCUCUUUGUGUAGCUCUUUCAAAUAAAUAAAUCUUAAAAAAAAAAAAAAAAAAGAAAAAAGGCUUGAUGCUUUGAUUAGUUUUCUUUUGUGGUACUUAAUUACUUCUGUUUUCCUGGGAGACUAAUAACAGUUUACUCUUCAUUUAAGUGUCACUGUGGUCUGCCAGCACAUUGGCUUCCAAGAUUCUUGUCUGCUCCCAUGGCCCAAAGGGUCAAGAACCUGCUCCGACAUACUUUGAGUAUGGAGUCACUGAGGAACACAGAGCAGGCCUCAGUCAAGUUGUCCAGGGGUUUUUCUGAACAGAAAGGAAAGGAUCUGAGGCCUCUACUCACCCAUUAUCUGAUUCUAGGCACACCACAGGAAUGUCGGUGGGGUCAGAGGUUAGCUUUGCUGCUUGCUGCGCCAGAACAGAGAUCACUCCAGCAUGCUCAUCUGACAGCGUCCCACGGCCUGAGAGAGAGAGAGAACGAUGGUAUCAGGGCACCUGGUGAGCCACAAGUAAGUUUGGAGCAACAGUAUCUCACUGAAUGAUUCACAAAGAGGAGGUUCAGGUCCUGGUCCUUUAAGUUUGGUGCUUACAUGAAGUGACUGUUCCCUGACGCUCAGUGGUUACAUCAGUGAGAAAGCCGGGCAACAAAAAUCAAUAAAUCAGUAAGCUAUAACUGACACACCUAUCACCAUCUGUAAACAGCUUCAACAUACCAGGACGCUGUAAUUCAGGUCACUCUGAAAACCAUAAAUUCACUGGAUAGGAACCUUGCGAAAACAAAAAGCUUAGAGGUGAGAUUGACAAAAAGCAGUCAAUACGCGCAAGAGGCUUGCUGAAGCUAAUUCAUUCCUCAUGGGAAAGCGGAUUUCCUCUCCUGAGGAGUCACGCAGUCUCAGAUCUCCUCGAUGGCACGUGUGAACAUUCUGUGAGCAGUUAUUUCUGCUAGCAUAGCUACUUGGCUGUUUUCAAAUGCCCACACGAUUGUCUUCUACUCCUGACUGCUUUAGCUUGUAUAUGAUAACGGAACCUUGGGUCCCAAGCACAAAAUGUAACUGCUGAGUUUACUGUGUCCUGUAUGUGUGUAUGAAGGCAGGCCAAGCAGAACCGUGCCUGUGGCUGGUGGGCAGAGGGAUUUCCUGACAGCAACUCACCAGCACGGCGCCAUCUUUUGCACCUUGAAGCUUUCUUGAAGCAACUCUAAUAGAGUUUCACACUUCAUUUCAGUAUUUCCAUUAGUGAGUCUGGCAAAAGCGUCAAAACAUUUGCCUUUUUUCUCCAAGCAACUGAGUUAUAGAUUACCGCUUUGUUACCCUUGCAGCAAAAAUUCAGAGCUUUAAAAAUUCUUGCACUAAGACGUGUCCUGGGUUUACUAGUUCUGACAUUAACUAAAUGCUCUAGUUAUCUAUCAUUUUCCUUAUCUAUCAUUUCCUCAUCUGUGAUUGCUGUCAUUCUCUGAGCAUGUUCCAUCUGGGUGUGCACUGUCUUAAGCAUAUUAUAUAAUCUCACGGCAUUGUGAUUGAAGAGGCUUUGGACCCUGACACCAUUUCUAGCUCAGCCAAUUACCGCCCUAUGACCCUAGGCAAGCUACUUUACCUCUGUGCCUCACGUUGGUUGUUAGGAGGAGUGCGUGAGUUACCAUUAGAAUGGUACCUGGAACUCAAGGAAGAGCACGCAAUUCUGUAAGCACUAGUCUCAGUAAACAAGAGCCCAGUGAAGCUAUGCCAUGGAGGCCGGUGCCAUGACACAUCUCUGAUGCCGGCAUCCCAUAUUGGCAGCGGUUUGUGUCCUUCUGCUCCAUUUCUGAUGCAGCUCCCUGCUAAAGGUCUGGGGAAAGCAGUAGAUCGCCCAAGUGUUUGGGUCCCUGCCACUCUUGUGGGAGACCUGGAUGAUUCUGGCUUUGGCCUGGCCCAGCCCUGGACAUUAUAGCCAUCUGGGGAAUGACUCAGAGGAUGCAAGAUCUCUCUGUCUCUCCCUCUCUCUAAUUCUUUCAAAUAAAUAAAUAAAUAUUAAAAAAAAAAAAAAGUUCCUGAAAGGUUCAUUUAGGCCCAAGUUCAC